GGGGUAACCUGCCUGUAAGACUGGGAUAACUCCGGGAAACCGGGGCUAAUACCGGAUGCUUGAUUGAACCGCAUGGUUCAAUUAUAAAAGGUGGCUUUUAGCUACCACUUACAGAUGGACCCGCGGCGCAUUAGCUAGUUGGUGAGGUAACGGCUCACCAAGGCAACGAUGCGUAGCCGACCUGAGAGGGUGAUCGGCCACACUGGGACUGAGACACGGCCCAGACUCCUACGGGAGGCAGCAGUAGGGAAUCUUCCGCAAUGGACGAAAGUCUGACGGAGCAACGCCGCGUGAGUGAUGAAGGUUUUCGGAUCGUAAAACUCUGUUGUUAGGGAAGAACAAGUACCGUUCGAAUAGGGCGGUACCUUGACGGUACCUAACCAGAAAGCCACGGCUAACUACGUGCCAGCAGCCGCGGUAAUACGUAGGUGGCAAGCGUUGUCCGGAAUUAUUGGGCGUAAAGCGCGCGCAGGCGGUUUCUUAAGUCUGAUGUGAAAGCCCCCGGCUCAACCGGGGAGGGUCAUUGGAAACUGGGGAACUUGAGUGCAGAAGAGGAGAGUGGAAUUCCACGUGUAGCGGUGAAAUGCGUAGAGAUGUGGAGGAACACCAGUGGCGAAGGCGACUCUCUGGUCUGUAACUG
rnacentral:rRNA from 1 species